rnacentral:lncRNA from 13 species
AUGGGAAUCAUGGAAUCUUUGGGUUGGAAGGGCCUCAGAGAUUAUCCAGGGCAAUCCCCUGGCACGGGCAGGGACAGGGACAGGGACAGGGACAGGGACAGGGACAGGGACACCUUCCACCAUGCAGUCACCGCCCUCCCGGUCUUAUCCUGCAGGAACGGAACGGCCAAAACCCUCACGGUCCAUGAAGCGCCUUUUCCGAGGACCCGCGUUCCCUGCCAUGGCCUCUCCCUGCUCCAGUGCCUUUGGCAGAGGCCCUUGGAUUGUUCAGGCUGCAACUUCAUCCGGAUUUACUCAUGGAAACCACAUUUUCCUCCCCUCUUUUCCAGCCCUGCACCGGCACAGGAAUCAGGGCUCUGCCAGGUCCAGACUCACCCAAACGGCUCCAAGGCUUCCAGGAACUCUUCAUCCGGGAAUUCCUUCUGCUGCAACACAGCAAAACCCAAAAAUCAAUUAUCGCAGGGACCACUAGGAACAGAAUCAUGGGAUCAUGGAAUCGUGGAGUGGUUCGGGUGGGAAGGGUCAUUAAAGCCCAUCCAGUGCCACCACUGCCAGGGGCAGGGGCACCUCCCACUGUCCCAGGCUGCUCCAAGCCCUGUCCAGCCUGGCCUUGGGCACCUCCAGGGUUGGGGCAGCCACAGCUGCUCUGGGAAAUCCAUUCCAGGGCUUCCCCACCCCCACAGGGAGAAAUUUCGUCCUAAAUCAUUCAAUAUUCUCCCUAAGUCCCGAGGCCCCUCAGGGUGCCCAGGGCACUGUCUCAGCUUGGCUGGGGUGACAGAUCCAGCUCCAUGUUCCCAAGGCUUCCCACAAGCUCCAAAUUCCCUCCAGGAGCUGCGUUUCACCUCUCCUCUGGCUCUGCCCGCCCUGCUGGGCCUGGGAAGUUCUUGGCUCAGCUCUUGGCCACUCCUGGAAGCUGCUGGCCCUGAAAUCCAUCCCUGGGGAAGAGCUCCCGGAGCUCAGAGCUGCCCACACUUGUCCUGUUUGCUGCAGCCCAAGAAGGCGAUCAGCCAAAAUCCCAAAGGUUUGGAUACAGCACAAAACCAGUCACCAGCACGGCCAGGAACUGGGGAGCAGCAACAGGACCCAGGGAACGGCCGGAGCUGCGCCAGGGAGGGUCAGGCUGGAUACUGGGAAAAGGUUCAUCACCCAGAGGGUGCUGGGCACUGCCCAGGCUCCCCAGGGAAUGGGCACGGCCCCGAGGCUGCCAGAGCUCCAGCAGCAUUUGGACAGCACUCUCAGGAUCGGGAUUUUGGGAUUGGGGGGAUUUUGGGGUGUCCUGUGCAGAGUCAGGAGUUGGAAUCGAUGAUCCUCAUGGGUCCCUUUUAUCUCAGGUUUUUCCAUGAUUCUGUGAACAACCUGGACCCCCCCAAGGAGCUGCUCCUGCUGGAAUCUCUUCCCCCAGCCCCUUCCAGUGCUCGGUGCAGCAAUGGGGCUGCCCUUCCCCCGCGGAUGGAGCCCCACGUUCCUCCUGCCCUAUUUGCAGAGCAGCUUUUCCACCCCCACUGCUCUGCCCACCGCCAGGAGCUCCUGGACACACCAGGAAACCCAGCCCAGACUGGGAUCCUUCCCAGGGAUCCUUCCCGGGACAUGGAAUGUGGCCUGACACAUGGAGAAGGUAUCCCAGCGUCCCAGCCAUGCACUUUCCCCCUCUCCAGCUCAAUGGACAAGGGCCUAAAGCUGUUUUUUCCCCUUUCCCCCAAAUUACAAGACCUUGUGGUUACAAGAAAUCCUGAAGGAAUACAGAUAAAUAUAGUUAUAAUUAUGGAUAAUCAUCAUUAUCUGGAUAGUUUUGACAUGAAAGUUGAGAGUCCCUCCCACAGCCAAAGCCUUAAGGAAAAACAAACAAACAAAUUAAAACUUCAGUUCUCAGUGCUGGGGUGA